rnacentral:rRNA from 1 species
UACGUAGGCAGCGAGCGUUGUUCGGAUUUACUGGGCGUAAAGGGCGCGUAGGCGGCCACCGCAAGUCAAUUGUGAAAUCUCCGGGCUUAACCCGGAAAGGUCAAUCGAUACUGCGGGGCUAGAGUGCAGAAGGGGCAACUGGAAUUCUCGGUGGUAGCGGUGAAAUGCGUAGAUAUCGAGAGGAACACCUGCGGCGAAGGCGGGUUGCUGGGCUGACACUGACGCUGAAGCGCGAAAGCUAGGGGAGCGAACGGG